AAGGAUUUAGCUUAAUUAAAGUGAUUGAUUUGCACUCAGUUGAUGUAAGAUAAGUUCUUGCAGUCCUUA
rnacentral:tRNA from 1 species